AGAGUUUGAUCAUGGCUCAGGAUGAACGCUGGCGGCGUGCUUAACACAUGCAAGUCGAACGAAGCGACUUAUACGAUCCUUCGGGGUGACGAUUUGUUGACUGAGUGGCGGACGGGUGAGUAACGCGUGGGUAACCUGCCUUGUACGAGGGGGACAACAGUUGGAAACGACUGCUAAUACCGCAUAAGCGCACAGCUUCGCAUGAAGCAGUGUAGUAAAAAGUUUUUCGGUAACAAGAUCGGACCCGCGUCUGAUUAGCUAGUUGGUGAGGUAACGGCCCACCAAGGCGACGAUCAGUAGCCGACCUGAGAGGGUGACCGGCCACAUUGGGACUGAGACACGGACCCAAACUCCUACGGGAGGCAGCAGGUGGGGAAUAUUGCACAACGGGACGAAAGCCUGAUGCAGACCGACGCCGCGUGAGCGAAAGAAGUUAUUUCGGUAUAGUAAAGCUCUAUCAGCAGGGAAGAUAAUGACGGUACCUGACUAAGAAGCACCGGCUAAAUACGUGCCAGCAGCCGC
rnacentral:rRNA from 1 species